AGAAGGAACAAUAGAAAUUGCGAUAACAAAAUCCUAAUUUUAAUAGAAUACUAACAAUGCUCUAAUUAGACUAUAAUAAUGGUAAACAAACGUAAUCAAAUUCAAAACAACUCAAAGAAAUUUCAAAUAAACAAUAAAAUUCUUAAAGAAAUAUUAGAAUGAUCACAAAUUUUACUCAAAUAUAUGUCAAUUCAAUCUUAAUUUAAUUCUAGUUAAAACCCUAUUGAAUUUCACUCAACUUUAGAUCAAACCUAAUUAAAUCUUAAACCCUAAUAAUUCCUAAAUCCUAAGUCAAAUCCUAAACAAAUCUUAAAUUAAAUCCUAUUCCAAACCCUAAAUCCUAAACCAAACCCUAAACCCUAAUCCAAAUCCUAAUCUAAAUCCUAAUCCAAUCCUAAACUCUAAUCCAAAUCCUAAACCCUAAACCAAACCUUAAAUCAAACCUUAACCAAAUCCUAGUCCAAACUCUAAUCCAAAUCCUAAAUCAAAUCUUAAUCCAAAUCCAAAAUCAAAUCCUAACCAAACCCUAAACCCUAAUCCAAAUCCUAAUCCAAAUCCUAAAUCCUAAUUCAAACCCUAAUCCAAACCCUAAACCGAAUCCUAGCCAAACCCUAAUCCAAAUCUUAGUAAUUCCAAUGAUAGAUUUAAACCUCAAUAUCUAAUUAAUAAAC
rnacentral:lncRNA from 1 species